rnacentral:rRNA from 1 species
UACGGAGGGGGCUAGCGUUGUUCGGAAUUACUGGGCGUAAAGCGCACGUAGGCGGCUUUGUAAGUUAGAGGUGAAAGCCCGGAGCUCAACUCCGGAAUUGCCUUUAAGACUGCAUCGCUAGAAUUGUGGAGAGGUGAGUGGAAUUCCGAGUGUAGAGGUGAAAUUCGUAGAUAUUCGGAAGAACACCAGUGGCGAAGGCGACUCACUGGACACAUAUUGACGCUGAGGUGGCGAAAAGCGUGGGGAGCAAACAGG